rnacentral:rRNA from 1 species
UACGGGGGGGGCAAGCGUUGUUCGGAAUUACUGGGCGUAAAGGGCUCGUAGGUGGCCAACUAAGUCAGACGUGAAAUCCCUCGGCUUAACCGGGGAACUGCGUCUGAUACUGGACGGCUUGAGUUUGGGAGAGGGACGCGGAAUUCCAGGUGUAGCGGUGAAAUGCGUAGAUAUCUGGAGGAACACCGGUGGCGAAGGCGGCGUCCUGGACCAAUACUGACACUGAGGAGCGAAAGCCAAGGGAGCAAACGGG